AUUCUGUGAAUGUUUGUGUUAUUUUUGUCUGAUUUUAAAUCAUGAUGAGAGUGAGAUUUAUAAAACAAAAAAUAUCUCUGUGUGUGUGUCUGUCUGUCUGUCUGUGUUUUGUUCUUCAGGUCUGGAUCGGUUCUGGGACAAACUCAAUCUGCUGAUGGUGCUGGAUACUAGUAAAUAUGACUUGAAGAUAAUGAAGAGAAUAGAUAACAGAGCAGAUGAUCCACUUUGUAGAGUAAAAUAUGGCAGGAUUAGGGAAUGCAAUCUUUAUAAUAAAAGACCUGAAGUGACAGUCAUUAAUGGGACUCUGACAAUAAACCGUGUGAUCAGAGCAGAUUCAGGGAAUUACAGAUUAACACUCGAAACAUCUAGAGAUCUUCAAGUUAUUGUUGAAGGUACAGAAACUCUGUUGAAUCUCUGUGACAGUUUUUAUUCCUGUAGCACACAGUAAACACACUUCAUACUCCAGUAAUAGUAUAAGUAUGGAAGAACAAGAUCCCGUGUUUGUCAUGUGACUGUGAUGUGUCCCUCCCUCCAGCUCCUAUUGGCUCAGUGGAAGUGUCAAUCAUCUGCUCCUCCAGUGGGGUGAUGAGGGUGUUCUGCUCCUCUGAGGGGGAUCAGCUCCUCUACAGCUGGACUCUGAAUGGAGAUCCACUGAUGGAUGGAAACAGCAGCAUUGAUCUGGAUGAGGGAACUGAUGGAGACAUCAGCUGCAGCGUGAAGAACCACGUCAGUCACACACAGAAGACCAUUAGACUCAAACCCUGUCCUGUGUCUCUGGUGUUUGUGUUGGUCUGGUGUCUUCAGCUGAUGGUUCUGUUCGGUCUGUUAGGAGCUUUUCACAUCUACAUGAGACACACAUCAGGAAAGAAACAGGAAGAUCAGAAAGUGAGGAUGAGAAGAUUUAGGGAAGGACAUGAACACACAGCAGAAGAUUCAUGAGAGCAGCAGCAGAUCAUCACAUCUAUGAGAAAUAACUUCAUAAUCUCACAGAUUCUCACAUCAAUCCAGCUUUCAGCUGCCAACAGCAGAUCUUAUAAUAUAAACCCUAGAGAUGAAUUAAAACCAGAAAAUAAGAAUUACACCAGAUUUUCUACAGUUUUAGUUAUGAACAUUAUUUUCUGGACANGAUAAGAAUUAAACCAGAUUUUCUACAGUUUUAGUUAUGAAGAUUUUUUUCUGGACAUUUCUCUUUUGUAAUAGUUUUAAGGCUUAUAUUACUUAUGUGUCUUCACACUGAAUGGACUAGCAGUACUUUUAUAUCAUUACACGAAACCCCUUCUGAUCAUCACUGAUAAAACUUUUAUUUCUCUGAAUCAGAUCUGUCACAUUGUGUUUAUUUUCAUAUUUCUGCUCUUGCUCUUUAACUUUAUUCUGUUAUGGUUGAUUUAUUUCAUUUACAGGUCUGUUUAGAUGUUUUAUCUGUUUGAAGAUCUUGAUCUGUUUCUCAGUUUUGUAGUGUCUCUUGUUUUGCUGUCUGUGGUUUGGUUUUGCUUGAAUUUGAAGUUUUUAACAUAUAUAACCACAUUCAUGCAUUAUUCUUCACAGGAUAUUUGCAUCAUAGAACAUUGGUAUACAUGCCCUUCUUUAGACAUUGUAAAUGGGGUCAUUGCUGAAUUUGUUUUUUUGAGUUAAAUGUGAAAAUAAACCACUCUGAAAUGAAACA
ensembl:lncRNA